UAAAACCAAAGUUGUUCAUCAGGUUCUUUCGUUCAAUAAUCCUUCGUCGCCGCUUUCAUUCUUCUUUGCAAUCUUAUACCCUACCCUCUCACCGCAUCACCGUAAUCCUUGCAGAGUUUCUUUUGGAUCAAAGUAUGGAAGACGAUGAUUGUGGUGUUUAGGGUUAGAGAAACGACGACGUGAGCAAUUGUCGGAGACGAAGAGGAUUCGUCUAUCUUAAUCACUGAGUAUCUUUCUUCGUCAUUCAAUUGCUGUGAAGAAGGAAUCAUGUAACUUAGCAGGUUUUCUAAUCGGGAUUUGAGAGUAAUUAUGGUUUUCUAAAACCUGCGGCUUCUUCUCUUUCCCUUAAUCGUUAACCCUAAAUCAACCGAUGUCGCCCCCACCACAAUCAUUUGGUUCUUAAUCACCUCCAAAGCUAUUCAGGUUUUUUUGUUAUUUCAGAGACCAUUUGGACUAAUAUAAGGGUUAUAUCCAAGUCUUAGCUUCAGCUGGUGUCUAACAUGGUUGUAUGGGACUUCAAAUCCAAUGAAA